CCCUUAGACGUUCUGGGCCGCACGCGCGCUACACUGACCAGUGCAACAAGCAUCCGUCCUUGGCCGACAGGCCCGGGCAAUCUUUGAACGCCGGUCGUGAUGGGGAUAGACUUUUGCAAUUUUUGGUCUUCAACGAGGAAUUCCUAGUAAACGCAAGCCAUCAACUUGCAUUGAUUACGUCCCUGCCCUUUGUACACACCGCCCGUCGCACCUACCGAUUGAAUGGUCCGGUGAAGCCUCCGGAUUGGCGCGCACCUCGGUGCCGCCGAGAAGUUGGCUAAACCUUNCNAUUUAGNGGAAGGUGAANUCGUANCA
rnacentral:rRNA from 1 species